rnacentral:rRNA from 1 species
UACGUAGGGACCGAGCGUUGUUCGGAAUUAUUGGGCGUAAAGGGCGCGUAGGCGGCCAACUAAGUCAGACGUGAAAUCCCUCGGCUCAACCGGGGAACUGCGUCUGAUACUGGAUGGCUUGAAUUCGGGAGAGGGAUGCGGAAUUCCAGGUGUAGCGGUGAAAUGCGUAGAUAUCUGGAGGAACACCGGUGGCGAAGGCGGCAUCCUGGACCGAGAUUGACGCUGAUGCGCGAAAGCCAGGGGAGCAAACGGG